rnacentral:rRNA from 1 species
CCUACGGGGGGCUGCAGUAAGGAAUAUUGGUCAAUGGGCGCAAGCCUGAACCAGCCAUGCCGCGUGAAGGAUGACGGCCCUAUGGGUUGUAAACUUCUUUUGUACGGGAAAAAACCUCUGGUCGUGAAUCAGAGCUGAUGGUACCGUAAGAAUAAGCAUCGGCUAACUCCGUGCCAGCAGCCGCGGUAAUACGGAGGAUGCAAGCGUUAUGGGGAUUCAUUGGGCGCAGGCGGUGUGAAGGGGGAACAGUGACAGCCUACAGCUUAACUGUAGAACUGCCAUUGAUACUGUUAUUCUUGAGUGUUGUUGAGGUAGGCGGAAUGUGUCAUGUAGCGGUGAAAUGCUUAGAUAUGACACAGAACACCGAUCGCGAAGGCAGCUUACCAAGCAACAACUGACGCUCAUGCACGAAAGCGUGGGGAUCAAACAGGAUUAGAUACCCUGGUAGUC